CAGCAGCCACGGUAAUACGGAGGGGGCUAGCGUUGUUCGGAAUUACUGGGCGUAAAGCGCACGUAGGCUGCUUUGUAAGUCAGAGGUGAAAGCCCGGAGCUCAACUCCGGAAUUGCCUUUAAGACUGCAUCACUUGAACGUCGGAGAGGUGAGUGGAAUUCCGAGUGUAGAGGUGAAAUCCGUAGAUAUUCGGAAGAACACCAGUGGCAAAGGCGGCUCACUGGUCCAUUACUGACGCUGAGGUGCGAAAGCGUGGGAGCAAACAGGAUUAGAUACCCCCGUAGUUCCUGUCUCUUAUACA
rnacentral:rRNA from 1 species